rnacentral:rRNA from 1 species
AGAGUUUGAUCAUGGCUCAGGAUAAACGCUGGCGGCGCACAUAAGACAUGCAAGUCGAACGGACUAAGCUCAUUCUUUUAGUUUGAGCAAGGUUAGUGGCGGACUGGUGAGUAAUGCGUGAGCAACCUGCCUAUCAGAGGGGAAUAACAGUGAGAAAUCAUUGCUAAUACCGCAUAUGCUAGUAGUAUCACAUGAUACAGCUAGGAAAGGAGCAAUCCACUGAUAGAUGGGCUCACGUCUGAUUAGCUAGUUGGUGGGGUAACGGCCUACCAAGGCGACGAUCAGUAGCCGGACUGAGAGGUUGAACGGCCACAUUGGGACUGAGAUACGGCCCAGACUCCUACGGGAGGCAGCAGUCGGGAAUAUUGCGCAAUGGAGGAAACUCUGACGCAGUGACGCCGCGUAUAGGAAGAAGGUUUUCGGAUUGUAAACUAUUGUCGUUAGGGAAGAUACAAGACAGUACCUAAGGAGGAAGCCCCGGCUAACUAUGUGCCAGCAGCCGCGGUAAUACAUAGGGGGCAAGCGUUAUCCGGAAUUAUUGGGUGUAAAGGGUGCGUAGACGGAGAAGCAAGUUGGUUGUGAAAUCCCUCGGCUCAACUGAGGAACUGCAACCAAAACUACUUUCCUUGAGUGUCGGAGAGGAAAGUGGAAUUCCUAGUGUAGCGGUGAAAUGCGUAGAUAUUAGGAGGAACACCGGUGGCGAAGGCGACUUUCUGGACGAUAACUGACGUUGAGGCACGAAAGUGUGGGGAGCAAACAGGAUUAGAUACCCUGGUAGUCCACACCGUAAACGAUGGAUA